rnacentral:ncRNA from 1 species
AUAACAGUUUUCGUAUAAUCCCGGGAAUUGGCUCGGGAGUUUCUACGAGGUCACCGUAAAUGAUCUGGCUACGAAAAAAGAUUG